rnacentral:rRNA from 1 species
GACGAACGCUGGCGGCGUGCUUAACACAUGCAAGUCGAACGGAAAGGCCCUGCUUUUGUGGGGUGCUCGAGUGGCGAACGGGUGAGUAACACGUGAGUAACCUGCCCUUGACUUUGGGAUAACUUCAGGAAACUGGGGCUAAUACCGGAUAGGAGCUCCUGCUGCAUGGUGGGGGUUGGAAAGUUUCGGCGGUUGGGGAUGGACUCGCGGCUUAUCAGCUUGUUGGUGGGGUAGUGGCUUACCAAGGCUUUGACGGGUAGCCGGCCUGAGAGGGUGACCGGCCUCAUUGGGACUGAGCUACGGCCCAGACUCCUCCGGGAGGCAGCAGUGGGGAAUAUUGCACAAUGGGCGGAAGCCUGAUGCAGCACCGCCGCGUGCGGGAUGACGGCCUUCGGGUUGUAAACCGCUUUCGCCUGUGACGAAGCGUGAGUGACGGUAUUGGGUACAGAAGCACCGGCUAACUACGUG